UCGGCGGAUCCGCCCGGCCCCGCACCUGCCCCCGGGGCCGCCCGCCGGAGUCGGGCCGAGCGCCGCGGAGCUGCUGCCGGAGCGCCCGCCAUGGGCGUGGGCUAUGGGGGGAUGCGCUGCGUCAAGAUCCUGCUCUUCAUCUUCAACCUGACCUUCUGGCUGGCAGGACUGGCUGUCAUUGCCUUCGGGCUGUGGCUGCGCUUUGGUGGGCCCAUGGCAGAGUUUGCUACAGACAAAAAGUCCCCGGAACUUUUCUUCAUGGGACUCUAUGUACUGGUGGGAGCAGGGGCCAUCAUGUCAGCAGUUGGAUUUUUCGGGUGCUGUGGAGCAGCGCGGGAGUCCCAGUGCUUAAUUGGAACAUUCUUUGCUUGCCUGUUGGUGAUAUUUGCAGGUGAGGUCACUGCUGGAGUAUUUGCCUUCAUAGGCAAGAAAGUGGCAAUACAGGAAGCCCAGAAAAUCUAUGAAGAUGCUUAUGAGGACUACAUGAAAAACCCAGUGGGGAAGAUGAACAGUACCAUCUAUCGCUACCACGUGGCUCUCCAGUGCUGUGGUAAAGGUAAUGUGGAACAACAAACAGGAUUACCCUGUCCAGAGAACAUCCAGCUGCCAAAGAACUGCCUGGCUGAAAUUCAGAAUGUAAUUGAUACUGAGCUGCGCUUAGUUGGAAUUGUGGGAAUUGCAAUUGCUAGCAUCACAAUCUUUGGCAUGAUAUUCAGCAUGGUUCUGUGCUGUACGAUCCGUAACAUGAGAGAAAUGAUCUAAAACUGUCACUGCACAACUAUGCCCCAGGAGUUCCAGACUAAGCUUACAAGAAGUGCUCUUCUACCCAAUUUAAUAAUUGUAAUGCAUUUUAAUCAGUGUUUUAACAUACUGAGAGGAAAAUAUCCUGUUAGGUGAUCAGGUGAAUUGUAUUAGUUACAGUAAAACUGAAGUGGACAAAAAAGGGGUUUAAAAUGUCCUUUUUAAUGAAAAAAGAGCAAAGAUGCAUCUAAGACUAAUUUGAUUUUUAAUGUUUAUAUAUGUGCAAUUAAGAGUUUACACAUGUAUAGACUUGUGUAAGCAUAUGCAUGUGUCUCCUUACAAACACCUCUGGAUGUGAGCAGGUCCCUGGAGGUGCAGUACCUGUCCAGGUAGAUGCCUGCAGAUGGAACACGUUGUGUGUGCACAUCCCCCAGGGACACAGUGCUCAGAACCCCUUCACACAGAGCCCCUGUCUGCCAAGAAUUAGCAGAGGGACAAAUGCCAUUGUAAAAAGUAAGACCUAUGAUCCAUUUUGUGACUUUAUUUUCCAAAGCCCAAACAGAACAGAACUAAUAAAAUUGUACUUUAUUUAAAAAAAAAAAUUAAUGCCUUAGGGCCUGCUCCAGCAAACGUGAAGAGUAGACCCACUGACUUCACUGCCAUGCAGAGACUGGGUAUUUGUUUUUUGUAGGACUGGACCCUUCAUGCAAAUGCAGAAAGCUCUGGGGGAGAAAACACAUCCAAGGAGAUCCAGGCUAAGGAAGAGGGGGAAAGAGGUGGGAAGCUGGCAAGACCAGGCAGUCAUUUGGGACCAACUGCAGUGCAAAGUGUGCUGAAGCUUCCCAAGCUAGGCUGAGAUACACCAAAAAACCCAACUGUGAGUUCAAGGGGCCACUAGAAUCCACAUUCAGCAGCCUCUUUAUCCCAAAAGCCUCACUGUGGCUACAAGCUGGUGCAGGAGUGGAGCCUAGGUGCAGAAAAGCAGCCCCUUUGUCAGAUCUCUAGAGAAUCUAACUGGCCUGUGGAAGCCAAACCAAGAGCGAAAGCAUCAGAAAAAGACACACAGCACUUUAAUAUCCUCAGUUUCUGCUUCUGUGACUAUCACAGCUUCCACGGGGCUCUUACCUCAACCUCUCACCCCUUCCUGGGGGCAGAAGGCAGGAAAGAAAGAUGGGACAUUUUUACAGAGCCAUGAAGUUUUCUUACUGGCACCUUUAGAUUGCUUGUCAGGUAGAAAAAUUACACUGUGUGCUUGAAAUACCUCAGGGCUUGCGUUUACAUAGUUUUAUUCUAUAUUUUAAUUUUGCUAUUUGUCAUAUUUAUUCAUAAGAGAAUGUUCCUUUUGAACCAGCCUAGAAGGGAGAAAGGUUGUCCCCAGAAAAAUGAGUUACAUCAAAGGCUCAGGAUCUCUUAAUUUUUGGCUUACUUGAGAUAAUUCACCAUUUCAGAGAACAACUUUUUGCUAAGUAUGCCCCCAUAGCAGCAGAUCUGGUGAUCACCAGUUCAGAUUCCUGAUGCAGUUGUUCCAGACAUGCUGGGGAGAAGUUCAGUUAAACUACACCUUCCAAUAGACCAUUGUCUAAGAGGCCUUGGAAUUUACAAGUCAUGGGCUCCUUGUUCCACUGAAACACAGAGGAACAAACUGGGAUCUCAGGAAAUAUGUUAUGUGUGGGAUAUACCACCCUCUAUCUAUAAUUUAUUUUUUAUCUCGUAUUCCCCAAAGCAACUCAAACUCCCAUCAGUUUUCUGUCACUUCAGGACUUGGGGUAGUGCUGCUGCUCCAAGUCUCUGUUUAGUUGACACAUCUUGCUGUGUCUUACAUGGAUUUCUCUUUUCCAGUCAUCCAACCACGAGCUGUGGCACUGCACUGAGAGCUGGGCACGGCAGGCACUGACUGAGCCAUGUCCAGGCUGGGCUUUAGGCUGGCAGGGACACGUGAAAUCACACACCAGAAAAGAGUGAGGCUUGUGUCACUCUGUCACAGCUGAUUAGCAAUGGAUUAAUUAAAAACAGGGCCUGGGACCUCAUUCUGCAAGAACCAGCACAGGAAGCAGGGCCCUGCUCUGCUGCUUGCUCCUAAGACAGGCUCAGCUGGGAGAACAGCAGUGGCAGCAAAUCCAUGAGGGUGUCAAGCUGAACCUCAGAGAUCAGUUUAACACAGCAGCCAGCAAAGCCAUCCUGGCUCCCAGGUGUGCCUGAGACUGUCCCCACAAUGGCUGUGCUCUGCAGAGAUGAUGGGGUCGUGCCCAGCUGGGGUGUGCUCUCCCAAGGUAGUACUGGCAGAAAGAAGAAACUCUUGCAAAGUGUCAUUUUUGCCAGCUUCCAGGAAAAUCAGUAAAAAUAGCACCAGAGCCAAUGGUUCAGGUUCCAAGACUGUCGUCCUACAGGGACAGAAACUCACUGGAAAUAAAGCAAUUUCCUUGUGUUACGUUCCCCCUCAUAAUGACAGUGUUCUAUUCAUUUUAAACACAUCUACACAUUCCUCACAUUCAUAGCACCAGAAUGUAAUUACAGGAGCAGAGUUUAUCUUUUUAUUUAUUGUUUCUUGAGUAAGUUGGAAGAUGCCCACUCCUGCUUGGAGAUGCACUGAAUGCCAAGGCAGCUUGCAGAACCUGCUGUGCUUCCCCAGCCCUCCACUCCCCCAGAAGUACAAAACCACCCCAGUGCCUUAGGAAAACGGGAAAAAGUGGUAGAAAAAACCUUCUAUAAAUUCAGACUCGAGCCACCACACUUUCUGCUGAAGUGUUUUGGGUUUAUGAUUUGGUUUUUUCUUCCUCUAAAGAAAGCAUUACUUUUCUGAGCAUUCCUGCAUAAGCUCUAGGGUUGCAGUUAUUUAGGUCUAGGGGAUACUUGCACUGCACACCAGGAACAGGACAGUACCUGUUACUGGUUUAGUUCUCCAAGUUAUUGCUAUAAAUUAAGCUGGAAAUCAACACAUUAUUCAUAUACUAGUGCCUUUAACAGAAUCCAGGGAUAAAGGUCUUUUGUAGUUUCCUGCUGUUGUGAGGUGCUUAAUAUAAUUACAGUUUUCUCUGCAUCUUAGUAACUGAAGGUAUUUUUUCAGAAUUACUGCCACAUAAGGCAGCAAAAAUACCCAUUUUUCCUGUCCCUUGCACCUGUGUCAGAGGAAAGUGACAAAAGAUCAGAUCUCUCCAGGUGGUAUAACUUUUAAAGCACAUCACACACGUUUUCUUAUUCUCCUGUCAGUUUGUUCUAAAGCAUAAAGAUGUUGAUGCCCUUAUUGUGUCUCUAAACACCCUUAUUCACAUUUCCCUUGUCUAAUUUUUCUAAGUUACUGAUCUCAGUGGGAGCUUCCUUUGUCACAGGGAAACCUCAGCCAUUUUUGGUACCUCUCAGAAAUCACACAGCAGCUGAUGGAAGCUCAGCCCUGUGAUGUCCCUACAGUGAACAGUAGUAUUUCACUUGUCUUGAUACUGAUAAGUUUUAUAACAAAACACGUUUCAUGUGUCUUGAAACAGAAAUUGAGUUGUUCUUAAGCCCUCAAAUGCUGUAUUGCACAGCCUUUGCAGGCUAUGGAUUAACAGCAUUGGAUGCUGUGCAUAGGAAAUGUACAGAAAUAAAGCUUUUCAAUCUUUUUCCUCUCUAUUGGUGCUCCAGCCACGAGGUUCUCCAAAACACUAACCAAUUCCUGGAUAAUGUCUCUGGCACAGCAUAAAUUCUGAUUUUGGAGAGAACUGGCAUUUCAGUUCAUGCCGCCAAGUCUGUGGCAGAAUUACCUCUUGCUUUGAAAGAAAACAAACUUAACUCUGUGGCUGAAAUUAGCUUUCACUUCCCUAUGAUGUGUUCCGAAGUGGCGUUUUAUCAGCUUUGUGUCUUGAAUUUGAAACAACUUCCUAAUAAAAAUAACCUGGAAUAAA